UCGACGAGCUCCCCGAGCAAGUGUCAUCGCUACUGCGGCUGGCGACGCGAGCGCCACCUAUCGCGCGCGCCGCGCUCGCGUGGGGACUUUCCGCGCUUGGAGCGUUACUUAUACUCCUAGCGGUCACCUGCCUCAUACGAUCAUCCCACCGGCAAAGCACCCUCCGACUGGAGGGGCACGCGGUGGCCAAGCCUCCCCCGGCCAAGGCUCCUUCCAAGGACAACGGCUACGAGCUCAACAGCAGGCGGUAACGGCCCGGGGUUCCUUACACCCCGGGGUCCCAUACGCCCCGCGCCAAAAACGUCUCUGGACAGGGUGACUUCACAAAAACACUGCAAAGAUUAGGUCAUUGUCAGGUCGUUUAGACUCCAUUGCAGGAGCACGACUCUCUAAUUUACCAGAGAAAAUAUUGGAAUCAUCAUAAAUAGUCUCCAUUGCAGGAGUAUAAAUUUACCAGCAAACGGAGGAUUUGACUCUCUGGUGGGAGAGGCCUGAUGUUAAAAAAAUUGGGUAAUUUUUGCAAAAUUAUAUUAUGAUUCUUGCAUUGUGUUGAGUGUCUUAAAUAAAAUAUUAGGCGCAUAAAAGUACUAGCGGGAAUCUUCAAGUGCCAAAACAGGAUCGAAAGCCUUUUUGAAGUCGCUCAAACCGUUUUAGCGUUUCUAGAGACCAUUUGAAACUGUCUUAAGACUUUCAACAAUAGAAUCUCAUUGCGAUAGUUGUUUAUACAAAUUCUUGUCCGAAUCUCUUCAAUUAUUUGAAUUUUGGAUAUAGGGAGAAAUAAUGGGCUCAGAGUAGUGCCUUGUAGGACUCCUGAGAACUGUGGCCAACUGUGUUUAUAAAUUGAUCAUCACAACAUUAUUAUAAUUAUUAAUUUAAUUAUUAAUAACUGCAGAAGUCUUGAGACAGACAAAGCAAGUUAGACACAUUUUAUUAUACAUAUUGUAAAUUGAAUACAAUAAAAAAAUAGGGUGAACAGCACAAUUUUUUGACUGUAACAUUUCUAAAGUUUUUUCUUCAUCUAUUUCGUGAUCAGAAAAUUGGUUGUUUACCGUAUUUUUUAUUCCUAAAAAUCGGGAAAAAGUUACUUUUCGAGUGGUGAUAUAAUUUUCAUCACUAGAAGACUCACUUUUUUGUUUAAUUUAAUAAAAAUGUAACGAAUAUUACGAUAAAUAUAGGCUUUAGAUUUAAGCCUCCGUUCCGGCGAAUGAAAAAAAAUAUUAGCAAAAUGAUUUUUUGGCAUUUUUUUUUAUAAUUUUAUUUUUACUCUUUUUAAUAGUGUACCACCUCAUAAUGUUGCUAUUUUUAUGCUUAAGUCUUACAUUUGUGAUAGUCCUAUCAUAUUUUUUAUUUCCAUUAUUGAAAAUGUCAAAUAUAAAAUAUUUGAACAAAUUACUAUUAAUUUUGUAAAUUGACUUGUAUAAUUUUUUUUGAGAAAAAUUAGGGAUUUUUUUAAAAUGAUUAUUAUUAUUCGUUAGUUGUGACUGUUUAUUUUUAAUACUGUAAAUACAAAUUAUUUUUAAUCUUUUUUCUUUGGGCUUCGGGAUGCCAUUACGGUUGCUGUAAGUGACGAAUGUAUUAAAUGAAACUUAUUUUUUAUUUUUACCGAUAGCUGCUAGUCUUACAUGGGUCCGUCCUUAGGUAUAUUAGGAUUUUAACACUUUUUUAUAACUAUUUUCAUAGAAUAAAAUCUACCGAGGCGAGGUUUCUAUAUAAUAAUCUACUCUAUUAACAAAAUGUUGGUGGAAAUGAAUACAUUUUCAUUUGAAAUUCGCUAAAAUAUGAAGCGAAGUGAUUAUAUAAACAGAUAAAUGUGGCAAAUGUCUAUAAAACUAUAUUUUUGUAGAUUUAUAUACCUACAAUAGUGCUUUUCACAAAGUAAAUCUUGUAGUUUAAAAAUAAAUAGGUAUUUUUAAAACACUAGCGCCACUGUCAAGAACUUUUUGUGAAAAAGACUGAGCUAUUUCCAUAGAUUAAAAAUAGACAAAUGUCCAAGUUCCACGGCCUGUUGUUUUUUGAUAUUAUUCGAGGAAUAUGUUUUUAAAAUCCAAUUUUUUAAUUGAAUCAAGAAGAUUUAAAUCUGCUCUCUUGCUGUCUCUCAUUUCUAUUUAAAAUGUUUAUGUAAAAUGGCAAUUUACCGUAUUUCUUUUUUAAAACAGCAGGCCAAAAAUUUACAGUAAAAUUUUGAUGUAUGUAUGGUUUAUAAUAAAUGAAUGUAUUUUAGAUAAUUUCUCCAAUAACCGGUGCUAGGUUUGUCUUUAUACUGUCUUCGCAAUCCAUUUCUUUGUCUUCCAAGCGCAAUGUGAAUAGAUAUAGGAAUCUAGACCAAUUUGAGAUGGUUACAGGACUUUUGGCGGGAAUAUAAUGGUCAAUUACCCUUAUUUAUACCUCGACAACAUUAAUAACAAGUUAUAAUAAGGAACAUGUAUGAUUCCAUUGGAAAAAGGCUU